CGCCACUGUCUCGACAAUGUAGAGGGAAACACGCUUAAUCUUCAACAGGAUUCACAAGUUAGUUUGAAGUUAAUGUAUUUGGUGAAAGGCAAAGACACCAGAGAGCAGUUAAAACGAUUUCUUUCUCCCUAACAUUUACAAUGACAUUUGUAGUGCUAUUCUAUUCCUUGCAGUAUAAAAAAAAUGAAAGAAGAGAAGAAAAACAGCCCACACCAUUUUUUUCGGUGUUGUCGAGGCCAUGGCAACAUAUUGUUGGUGGAAACAGUGAGUGCAUUAAUUUAAGCAGUAGUUGAAGGUGAAUAAAGAUGGACACACAGGACCACCACACAACUUUAAAUGAACUUCAGGAGCGACUUCAAGCUCUGACAGAAGAAAAUUUGCAGCUGCGUGACAAAAAUGAACGCCUUUUCACCAAAGUGGGCUACCUGGAGAGCAGACUGGGCCACCUGGCAGGCUCCAACACAGAUCUGUCCUGCAGGCUGGUCCAGAGUGAAGAGGAAAAACUCAAGAUAUCGAAGGAGCUUGUGGAGGAGAAAAUUCUGACAAACAAGAUGAAAGAGCAGUUUGAAGAAGAGAAGUUUGAGCUGAAAAACAAGAUAUUGAACCAAGCCGGUGGAAUAACAGAGCUUGAGAUGGAGCGAGACAACUUAUUCAGGGAACUCCAGUCUGCUGAGGCUCGUCUGAAAUUGGGAGAGAAGACCGGCCAAGACUGGACAGAGGAGUACACCGCACUGAAGAAGAACUACCUAGCUCUGGCUAAGGCCCAUGAUGAAGAACUGGCCCAGAGUGAAGAGCUAAGUGCUGAGCUGCUGGCACUGGCCCAAGCCCAGGACGACCUCCGUAGGCAGCUGGAGGAGCAGCAGCAGAGUGUGAAGACUACCACUCAGGGCCUGCACGGUGAGCUGGACAGGGUGCGGGCCUUGAUCAGCCGCAUGUCACGUAACAGGGUCAAGCUUGAGGAUCUGGCAGCGUUGGACAAGGAGCAAAAGUCCAUGGAAAAAACUCUACUUGGAAACCAAGAUGAGAUCAAAGACAUGCUGGAGAAAAUGAAGAAUAGCUACGAGGAGCAGCUGAAGAAACUGGAGGAGAAAGUGGUGGCAAUGGGGAAAGCCCACCAGGAGAACAAGAGAGCGAUCCACAAUCGACAGCAGGAACUAUUUGAGCAGAGUGUGGCCCUGAUGUGCUCUCAGAGCCAAGUGAAGGAGGUAGAAGAAGAGAACUCAAUGCUGCAGCUUCAAGUCAAAGAGCUGAAUGAGGAAUACCGUGCAAGGCUUGUGUGCUAUUUACAGGACUUAGCUGAGUACAUCGAUGGAGUUGGAGAAGGUAAAAGCCCUUCAGAGACUUCUGAGAUGAGGGCACAUGUGGACAGAAUGCUCCAGGAUGUUCGUUCAACCUACAGGGUCAGGGAGGAACAGCUCGCCUCUGCUGCUCGCUCCUAUAAGAAGAGACUUCAGAAGAUCACCAAGACCCAUCAUGCUCUCCUUAUUGCAUACAGGGUUCAGAGGGAGCUGGUCUUGGCCAAACCAGAGAGCGGUCUUGACCCUGGACACCCAGAAGCCUGCUUCAGCCUGGAGCCCACUGAGCUCAGACAUGAAACUGAGAAGGAGCUCCAGCACCUUCGCCAGGACAAAGCGAGGCUGGAGGGUCAGCUGCAGGCGGCCCGGGAGCAGGUGGCUGUCUUAAAAAUGCCUGUUCAGAAUUUAAGCCAUCAGGACUCGGCAUUCGAGGAAUCCUGGACGGACAUAAGGAAACAGCUGAGGGAGAUCACAGACUCUACACUGGUGAACUUUGAGAAGGAGCGCGCCCUUCUCAUCACCAGGGCAACAGUUGCAGAGGCACAGGUGUCGGAGUUGCAGGACUAUAUUGACAACCACCUUGGCAGGUAUAAAGAGGAGAUCUCACAUCUCUGCAGACUGCAAGGGAUACAGGAGGCCGGGCAUUCCCAAAGUGGUGCUGCUCAUGCUGGUGGUUUUUCUCUGAAAGGCCCCCAAAGAAAUCCGGCCUUGAGAAAAAAAUGCCUGGAAUGUUUGUAAAGCUUAUGUCAAUUUCACGAGCUCGGGAGAAGAAAGCGUGGUGACAAUGAGGGGUCAUCCUGAUAUGAAGGCCAGAAGCAGCAUCCUGUAAUCAGUGUAGGAAACUGUUUGUGCUUUAUAUAUGUCUUAUCAAUCCAACCAUUUUAUCUGAAAUUAGUAUCAUUUUGCUUUAUCUGGAGUAAAGCGCAUUAUCAUAAAAUGUUACUAUGAAGUUGCCAUUUAAUUAUCAUUAGAUGGUUUUUUAUGGCUUGUUGCAUUUAGUCCUUCAGUAUAACACAUUUUAAACCUCCACAGAAAUGACCUUUGAGUCAAAUUGACUCCUUUCUGACUCUCUCAUCCAAACUGAGCAUUUUAAGCUUCACAUAGACAGCAUUCAUUUCAGGACUGUUGCAUUGCAUUCUGCAAUAUUGUACAUGUGUUGCCUUUGUAGUAAAGAGCUCAUGUCCAGCACUCUAUCCAAAAAUGGUUACUAUCUCAACCACUAAAAUUUUCCUAAACUUUUUCAUAUUAUCUUAUAUUGACAACAAGAAAAAAAAGUAUUGGCAAAACCUGUAGUUAUUUUUCUGUCCUUUUGGUCUGCCACAAAAAUGUAUGAUCCUUUUUGUCAUGUGAAA